CGUAGGAUCCUAGCGUUGUCCGGAUUUACUGGGUGUAAAGGGUGCGCAGGCGGACUUGUAAGUCAGGGGUGAAAUCUCGGCGCUUAACGCCGAAACUGCCUUUGAUACUAUAAGUCUUGAGUUUGGUAGAGAUCCGUGGAAUUCCGAGUGUAGCAGUGAAAUGUGUAGAUAUUCGGAAGAACACCAGCGGCGAAGGCAGCGGAUUGGGCCAAUACUGACGCUCAGGCACGAAAGCAUGGGGAUCAAACAGGAUUAGAUACCCUGGUAGUCCAUGCCCUAAACGAUGUACACUUGAUGCCGGCAUUUAACGUGUCGGUGUCGGAGCUAACGUGUUAAGUGUACCACCUGGGGAGUACGCUCGCAAGGGUG
rnacentral:rRNA from 1 species